rnacentral:rRNA from 1 species
CCCUUAGAUGUCCUGGGCCGCACGCGCGCUGCACUGAUGCAUGCAACGAGUUUAUAACCUUGGCCUGAAAGGUCUGGGUAAUCUUUUGAACGUGCAUCGUGAUAGGGAUAGAUUAUUGCAAUUGUUAAUCUUGAACGAGGAAUUCCUAGUAAACGCGAGUCAUCAGCUCGCAUUGAUUACGUCCCUGCCCUUUGUACACACCGCCCGUCGCACCUACCGAUUGAAUGGUUCGGUGAAGAUCUCGGACUUCGAUAUUUAUUCUUUAUUGAGUUUAUAUUGUGGGAAGUUAUCUAAACCUCAUCAUUUAGAGGAAGGUGAAGUCGUAACA